CACGGCAGCCGGAUCCUUGACCCACUGAGCGAGGCCAGGGAUCGAACCCACAUCCUCAUGGAUCCUAGUCGGGUUUGUUAACCGCUGAGCCAUGACGGGAACUUCUGUGUGUCUGCAUGUUAUAAAGAAAUGUCAUGAUUUCAUUAUUUUGGGGAUACACCUUACAUGUGAGGGAAAUAUUUUAAAUCUUAAGACUCGGCCAUCUGCCACCUCACGUGUUGUUAACUCCAUAGUUUGCUUUUAAAAUAAACAGCAGUAUACAUUCAUAACGUUAUUAAUAUCAAUCAUAAUUAUUAAUGUAAUUAUACAUAAAUUAUGUAUUUACAAAUACAUGCAAACUAUGUGAUAUUUAUCAUGUGCUCGUAGAGGCCCGUGUUCUAACAUCUGGUCUUACUUCUUUCAGAUGCACAGCUGAGGUUCUCUCUCUUCCUCCCAAUUCCACUUCCAAGCUUUCAUCCUUCCUUCCCUCGUGGCAUCUUCUGCCACGAGCCUGGCGUAGCCCUGCUUUGGAACUUCUAUCAAAAUAGAUGUGCUGCUGCCGCGCCUUCCUGACCUAGUGGACUGUUAGAGGUCCGCAUUUCUUAGUUUCGCCUUUGGCUCUUCUGCCGGAAAGGCUGUGUCUGUCCAUUUGUGGAGUCGUCUGAGUGACCGGAGAGAGCCCUUGGAGUCGCAUCAGCCAAACGUAUCAUGAGGUUUGUCUGCAGUCAGGCCCCAGUUAUGCUCAGAGUAAAAGCCGCCCUCAUUCUCCGGAAGAAGGUAAUGCUGACAGCAGCUGCCAGAGUUGCGAGCCAGAGUUUGAAAAGAAAUUGAAGAAAAAUGAACCAAAUUAGGUGGUUCCUGCAACAGAAUGCUGCUCAUUUUCUGCUCUCUACAAAUGGUUUUGAGGCGCCAGAAGAGCCCAGCAGUAGGUCCUUCUUCUCCGAGACUCCCUGUCGGUGAAGAUGCGGGACCUCAACGGGGAGAGCCGGCCCGUCCAGACCGCCAGGUGAGGCCAUGGUGGGGAUGCUGCCUGCCGUGCAUGCAACCGUCCCCCUACCUUCCCGCGCCUUCACUAAGGGCCAUGCGUGCCUCCGAGGCGAGCCGUGUCCCUGUCCGGGACGACUGCACCCUCGACCCGUGUGGGCGCUGCUGGAACGGCUCCGACGGGUGAGGCCUGCCUCAGGUCCCAGAGGCAGCCCGGUGGGGCGCGGGGCCGCCCCUCACCUCGCUUUCGAGUCCAUCCGCGUGUGAACAGUGAGGGUCGUGUGUGCUGUUUCCUGCUCAGCGAGCGGAUGACAGCUGUUUGUGUUGUUCCCAAGAUGAGUGGAAGAGCAGGCGGGGAGUUACCCUGUGGCCUGUGGGACGGCGGCGUGUUCCAGUUUGCGUGUGCCCUGGGGACACGUGGAGCAGCACCUCGGAGGUCUGGGGUGCUCAGACAGGAAGUGGGGGUGGCCGGGCGGCGUCCUGUCUGUAACGUUCUAGCAAAGGAGGGGUGUCGCCUGGGCCCGUCGUGGGAGCGAGCAGAGCGGGGACUGCCGCUGGCGGUGAGACACGGGCCCUUGGCUCAGACACCUAGAGACGGGUGUGGCACCACCAUCUCUUCUGGGGCAGUUGGGCUCACAGACAAAUAAGGCCAGGGGGCCUGCAGCGCAGGAGGACACAGGGGCCAUGGCCUGGCACCCGCACCAGGUUGGCCCUGGAAGCUGGGACCCACAGGAGUGGAAAAGGCAUCCGUUGACCUUCAGGCGGAGCCUGAGGGCAGUCUGUCUGUCUGAGACCUUGGUGGGGGGGGGCGGGUGUCACCAUACCCGCCCUCCCUCUGCACGGGGCCGGGGGGCUCGUGUUUGUACCACCUGGGAACGUGUUCCACACGCUGACCACGGGCCACCUCAGUGUCUUCGCUGUGGGGGGUGGAGGGGGGGCUGCAUCAGGGACAGCGCAGCGCAAGCCUCACACAGGCCCAGGUGCAGGGUUGGCAUCCUGGCCAGGGCACCGAGCCCGGGGCCGCCACUUUUCAGAGUGGUAGACAAGGCUGCUGGGAGCACAUGUGCUGAGAACACGCACACGUGGGGGCGCCAGUGUGGGCGACGGUGGGCUGUGACCCUGAGAGCUCAGCUCCCGACACAGAGGGAGGGUGUGGGAACGUUCCAGAAGAGGAGGAGCCAGAGCCUGAACACAGAGACGACCCGCCCCCUCAGAGAGGAAUCAAGCGGGACUCGCCGAGCUGAGCAGAGUCGUGGAGGGCCCUGGAACCACAGGCCCGAGCAGCACGAGGAGACCCGGAAUCCGUGAACGGAAGAUGGGGUGCAUUCUGAGAAAAACGUUAGAUCAUUCUAAGAAAAACGAUCAGGAGAAAUCACCCGGAAUGCAGCUCAGGGACCCAGAGAGGAAGUGUGGACGCCGGGUGCAGGGCGGCCGCGCAGCUCACCGCCCGCAGGCCCCACCUCUGUCCCAAGUCCAAGGCGCAGCACGUGCCAGUGUCCCCGCAGGGUUCAGAGAAGCCAGGAGGCUGCGUGUCAUCGUUCUCUCCCACGUUCAUCCUUUCUGCCUGUGGGAGGUGUCCCAUCAGACACUAGGGGACUUGCCCACGGCCAGGAUCAGCCCUGCACUUGUGAACCAAGCGGCAGCCUUCUCAUGGUGCCUGGAAGCCCGGCCUGACGCUGCGGUGACGGCCGGAGCGCUCAGGGCGAGCGGGAGGCCCCCAGUGACACUGCUCUCAUGGCUGCAGGCGCUCGGAAGCCCUGGCUUGGACUCGGCAGCAUCUGCCCUCAGCCCGCCAUCCUCCCUUCUGUAGGAAAAGACCAGAAGCUUCUCCCAGCACGGUCGAAGCGGAUCGCGUGAAGCACGACUCGCUCUGGAGACCCGGACGCUGUUAGAACGCAUCCUGAAGACAUGCGGCCUGGGCCCCGGCGCAGCUAUGGGGUGUGCUGUGUCGGGAGGUGCUGCCUUCCUCCCGGUGGCAGGACUCUUCCCGACUGUCCCAGAGCCUGUCUCGUCACAGGGAAAAUCUCCCCUAAGGUAAAAUGCGUGUAAAGCCUUGUGUGACCAGCCGCGCGUGAAGAUGGUGACGGCGCAGUGGUGUCUGCGGGGCACGGGUGGGUGGGGGGCUCGGCUGGGAACCGCGGACGAGUGCAGGAGGGAACAGACAGGUCCAGGCCUGGACGGGUGAGCCCGUCGGGGUCUGUACCCUGGCCGAAAAUGCAGGGCGCAGGGAGAAGCAUGUACCCGUUGCUCUUUCCUCUAAUAAACAGACUGUGCUUUGUAUCGACAUGAUUACAUGUGUGACGUUUAGUAGGAAGUUCUCACUGCCUUUCUCCUGACCAUUUCCGGUUUUCACCUCUUACUCCUAGAAAGGACUGUGGCGUGGCCUUGGGGUCACGGCUGUGACCCGCUCCGUCCGACGGCCGGGCCGGGCGGGAAGGUGGGUUCCCAGUCGCUGAGUCUCCUGCUCUCCUGUUCCGAGCAGCGCGACCACGACCGUAUCCAGCCACGGCUUCUUCAGGAUGUUCGACGGGAGCCCACGGAGGGAUGUUAGGCUGGAAGCGUCCAGAGAGAACAGCGGACCUCGUGCCAGCCGGGAGCCCCGCAGAGCGAGCAGGGCGGUCGGAGAAAGACGAGAGGAGCGUGGCCAGCCUGGACUUCAUCCGGAGGUUCUCCCUGCCGCCUGGCGCCCAGCUGAGCGCGUCAUGGCUGCGGCCGCCACCAGCAGCCUGCACGACCUCCAGCACAGAGUCACCUGAGAGGCGACGGGCCCGGUCCUCCUGGCAGAGGAGAGGCCUCCUGCUUCCCCGGGCAGACUGAGGGAAGCCCGGCGGGUCCCUGCACUUCUGCUUCAGAGCGCUGGAGCGUGUGCAGAGCUUCUGACUUGGAGCGCACCUGUGCCCAGGUGAGGUCUGGGAAGAGCCUUAACUGCAGCCACCCCUGAGCAGGAAAGGGCAGGAGCAGCAGCAGCACAAUCCCUGCUGGGACAUCACCACCUGCCUGAGCCUCCAGUUCGCCGUGGCCGGCACGUCCAUGCUCUGUAAACCUGUGUGAAAAGUACUGCGGGGGGACCUGCCCGCUGGACUUUGCGCUGCGCCUCAGGCCGUCGGAUUUCAGCCGUUUUAACUGUUGGGUGAUGCCACCUGGACCUUGGUGGUUUAUUUUUAAAGUAGGGUCUUCAGUAUCAACGCAGAUUUCCCAAGACCAAAAUCCCAGAGGUAACACACUAAGUGACAGGAACCUCACCCGCAAGCCCAGGUCUCGGCGGCGUCCGGGGGCGGGACAGCGGGGCUUCCAGGCUCCUGCGAGGGCAGGGCGCGUUCUGGUUACCGGCGCUGUGGACAGGCAGGGACGAAGCGUCUUGUCGUCCCUGCCUCUGAAUUGACGCGGACGGUGCCGCUUGAGGUCGCUUUCAUUUGGACGUCGAGGGUCACCAGGACAUUGAGCUUAAAGCUAGCUCUUGCUGGGUGUGGCUGGAGGCGCAGCUUACAGAUCUGACACGGGGGACAGAGUUGCUUAAGUACCCGUCAGCCCUGGUCCCUAAGAAGCAGCAGUUCUAGGAGUUCCCGUCGUGGCUCAGCAGUAAUGAACCCAACUGGUAUCCAUGAGGAUGCGGGUUCGAUCCCUGGCCUCGCUCAGUGGGCUAAGGAUCCGUGAGCUGU